GGCCGACUAGCUCAGUUGGUUAGAGCGUGGUGCUAAUAUCAAAUACUUUGUGUUACGCCAAGGUCGUCGGUUCGACCCCGGCGUUGGCCA